CCCAGAACACUCCGCGAAGGUGUUCCUGAACUUCAUUUCCCAGAGGCUUUAGCUAACGUGUACUUUCGCCCUGCGAUGGGCCGCACAUUUUCGCCGCCAGUCUUUUGCUCCUGUUUCAGGCAAAACUUGGAAGCAGCCAGAUGUCCUUCAGUACAUGAAUGAAUACAUAAACUAUGGUACAUUCAGACAAUGGAACAUUCAGUAAGGAAAAGAAAUGAGCUAUCAAGCUACCAAAAAGGAAGAACAGAAGAAUAUUAAGUGCGUAUUGGUGAGUGAAAGAAGUCAAUCUGGAAAAGGCUAUAUACUGUAUAAUUCCAUCUACAUAACAUUCCUGAAAAGGCUAAUCUAUGGAAACAGCAAAGAUUGGUGGUUGCCAGGGGCUUAGGGGGAGGGAAAAAGGGAAGAAUAAGUGACAUUCAGUGGAUUUUAAGAGGGAAGAAUAAGUGACGUUCAGUGGAUUUUAAGAGGGAAGAAUAAGUGACGUUCAGUGGAUUUUUAAGGCAGUGAAACUAUUCUGUAUGAUAUUGUAAUGGCGAAUACAUGUUGUUAUACAUUUGUUAAAACCCAUAGAAUAUACAGCACAAAGAGUGAACCGUAAUAUAAACUAUGGUCUUUAGUUAAUAAUAAUUUAUCAACAUUGGCUCAUCAAUUUUAACAGAUGUACCACACUAGUGCAAGAUGUUAAUAAUAGAGAAACUGGGGGAGGAGGGGAGAAGGAAGGAGUAUACUGAAACUCUACUUUCUGCUCAAUUUUUCUAUAAACCUAAAACUGUUCCCAAAAUGUUCUAUUAAAUUUAAAAUAUAAGAAUGUUAAAUAUGCUUAUGGUAAGGUCUCAGAAGGAAAUUAAUGACAUGCAAUUAGAAACUGAAGGAAUGGUUAUCUUGUUAUAAAGUGGGAGAGCCUUGGCUGAAUUGUAUUCUAUAUUUGGGUGGAAAACAGAAUUUGUACAUGAUGAACUUGAAUAUUUAGUUAAGAAGACUUCCAAGUAAAAUGUGGAAUGUGCAACCUGGUUAGUUAUUGCUGCUUAUGGUGAAAUGCAUGAGGAAAGAAAUAAACUGAGGAAGGAACUAUUCAGCACAAAGGAACCAGCACUCAUGAUUUGGAAAACUUUUAGCCAUACCUUAUACAAAUGAGGCUUUCAAUACAUGUUGAGGACACAGAAAGAUAUAAUUUUUGUCUUCAGUGACUUCUCUAUAUGUUGCACAAAGUGGCCUCCAACUCCUGACCUCAAGCAAUCCUCCCACCUCGGCCUUCCUAAAUGCUGGGGUUACAGUCCAUAAGCCACUGAACCCAGCCCUCAGAAACCUUUUGUGCUUAAAAAAACACCUCAGCAAAAUACAAAGCAACUAGUGAUAUAUUUGAACUGAAAUUACUAAUCAACUUUGGCUUGUUUUACUGUAACAAUGACUAGGGACUGGCCACAGCUGCAAUCUUACUUGUUUUACUGGGCUGAAAACAAAAACAUAGUAGAAUGGAUCUCAGUAAAGGUAGAGAGUCAGGACUUAGUUGCAGGAAACAAAAACCAGUCCAGUUUCUACUUUAGCCCUAAAUUGGAAACAAAUCAAAUGUCCUUCUAUACUUAAAAAGGCAAAUUGUCAGUUUUUCUUCAAAUACAAGGAAUACAAAGAAAAUACAUUUUUUUUCUACAAAGAAAAAAAAGUUAGCUAGGAGUGGUGGUGCAUGCUUCUAUUCCUAGCUACUCUGGAGGCUGAGGCAGAAGGAUGGCUUGUGCCCAAGAGUUCAGGUUACAGUAAGCUAUGAUGGUGCCACUGCACUCCAGUCUGUGUGAUAGAGUAAGACCCUGAUUCUAAAAUUUUUUUAAAUUUCUUAAAAGAGAUUUGAUAUUUCUUUGGUAUCUAACUUUAUUCAAAGCUGGAGUUGCAAAUGAUUUCAGCAAAAAAAAAUAAAGAUGUGCUUGAUAAAAAUAUGUCCACCAAAUAAAAAGGAUGUGAUAUGCAUUAACUAUGAACAACAAUCUAUAGCACAACUUAUAUUUGUAUGGACACCUGGCUACCCCAUCAAACUGCUUCAUGUCUAUUCCCUCAAAUUAUGGUCUUCCAUAAAACUAGUGAAUUUCUUUUAGUCUUCUUUUGAGCCUGUAGGGGUGAGAGAAUCUUUUUUCUCCCUUCUGGAGGUUGGAUAUUUGAGUCUGAGAAAUAAAGCUGCUAGUAGACAGAUUAACAGAAGAAAAGGCAUACACAUUUAUUAUGCACAUAUGCACAGAGGUCCCAGAAAGUGUAAGUGAGACUCAAAGAAGGGGCAGAUGGUUGAAGCUUAAAUAGGACUUGGAGCUACAUAAAGAAAUAGGAGCUUGAAGGCUCCUGGAAGGUGGUGGCGAGAAGCAAUGUGAGGGUCAGGGCAGGAACAGCUCUGGGAACAAAGCUUGUCUUAUUAUACAGAUAAAGUCUCUCAAGUAGCAGCCCUCAGAAUAGGUGGUGAAGAAAAGAAUUGAAGUCUGGCUGGGCGAGAUGUCCCGGGCAUGGAGACCUUUAGUUUUCUCUCCUGGGAUCUGAGUUAAUCUUCUCUGGUUAAUACAGAUUCCAGGAGAGGGUUCAUGACAAUCUCUUUCCUUCUGGAGGAACCUCCGUAAGUCAAAUAAGGGAAACUUCAGUGAAAGCCCCUCCCUGCCAUUCAAGAAAGAAAGAGGAUCAGGAGGCAGUGGGGCUGCGGAAGGUCAGAGAGACUUUGAUUCUGAGGUUGCUUCUUUAGUUCAAAGUACUCAGCACUUCCAAGAGCCAUACUUUGGGGUAUCAUUUUCUGAGCUCUAACAAGGGUCCUCAGAAAAUCUCUGUCUCUUCCCUUCCCGGUCUUCCUUCGUUUCUCCUCUUCCUCUUCCUCCUCUUCUUUCUCCUUCAUCCUCUUCUUUCUACCUCCUGUCCCUCCUUCCUUUCUCUCUUCUCCUUUCUGGUCACUUUCUUCUUUUCCUCUUCCUUCUUGUCCCUCUUCCUCAUUUAUCUACUUAGUCGACAUGAUUUCUUAGCUUGCGAUUGUUUCCCUCUUUUCUUAGAUUAGUAUAUGGUUCCAAGAAGUAGAUGAAAGCCAAUUACAAUAAUCUGUGCAUCCAAAGGGCUCAGGGAAACUCCAGGACCGGCAGCUUUAGACUUCAAGACGGAAGCAUAAGAGGAAAAGAAAACAUACUGCGUGGGUUAGAUUUUGAGAGAAGGAGCGUCUGCCUUGGCCAAAAAUCAAAGUAGGAUCUUCCUUUUGAUAGGUAACCUGGUUCCAUGGGAACUCAUGAACAAUCUAUAAAUUUCUUUCUUAACCCAACUGAAGCGUGGAAGCGCAUUGUGAAAUGCAAAAUGCCGUGCAAACGAGACCGGGUAGAUAUACUCCCUUGGGUUGGUGUGAGCCUAGAGACUUAGGGACCUCAUCAGAGCAAGAAAGUGCAAGUAGGCUUUUCUGCAUCAUUUUCUGGCCCUCCAGUUCAGACACAAAUCAAAAGUUAGUCCCUUCUUGAAAGCCAUUAGCAUUCAUCAAGGAGCCUCAAUGAGAGGAAGUUUCAAACAAAAACUAAAUGUGUCAGGCCCAGAUUUACGGUGAGGGUCUGAUUCCACUUCCUUGCGGGGUCAGUUUGGGUCCAGGUGAGAGAGGUACAGUGGUCUCUAGUUUUCUGGAAACGGUACUGCUGAUAGGGCAAGGACUCCUUGCGGCUGCCCCAGAGAGGUUGGCUUGUCUUAUCCAACUUGCACUUCACGUUAGAGUUUCUAAUGAACUCGCAGACUCCAGUUUCUUGCCCAGGAAACCAUUUUUACCGUAUUUUGUUCUUUUGACCGUUUCUUGUCAGUUAGCUGGUGUAAAUUCUGUUUAAAGAUGUGAAGGGAGCCUUCUCCAUUCGUGUAGUCGUGGCCGAGUGGUUAAGGCGAUGGACUAGAAAUCCAUUGGGGUCUCCCCGCGCAGGUUCGAAUCCUGCCGACUACGGGAUGUUUUACUGAGAACAGUUCAGCGAGGAAAUAGGAUCUCACAUUUGCUUUCAGUUUGGGAGUAAAGAAACUCGUGAUAGAGCCUCUGCGUGUCACCUAACAUAGCCUGAACUUUUGCCGACUUCGGGAUGUUUUACUGAGAACAGUUCAGAGAGGAAAUACGAUGUCAUAUUUGCUUUCAGUUUGGGAGUAAAGGAACUCGUAAUAGAGCUUCUGCGUGCCACUUAACGCAGCCUGAACUUUUGCCGACUUCGGGAUGUUUUACUGAGAACAGAGAGGAAUCGUAUUUACUUCAGAGAGGAAAUACGAUGUCAUAUUUGCUUUCAGUUUGGGGGCGAGGGAACUCGUGAUAAAGCUUCUGCGUGCCACUUGACGCAUCCUGAACUUUAAAAAUACAUCUGCAGACUCUUUAUCUAUUUUACCUCAACGGAGCGCAGGUAUUGGUCCCACCUCUGCUUUUCCUGUCUUUGAAACCAACCGAUGCACCUUUCGGGAUUUGUAACUCCUAUGUUAGCUAGGGCUCCAACCAUGGUUGAACAUAGACGGAAACCAGUGCGUCACAAAGGAGGCUAGCGAGAGUUCUUUUUUAAAAGGGUCUGACAAAGCGUCCGAGGAAUGAAGGAGGAACUGGAGAGGAUUCGCGGUUGGGCGGAGACACGUUCGCUGAAUUGCCUUGCGUAUAUUUGGUAGGGGAAACGUGUGACUACAGAGCAAAGAAAGAUGGACAAUAGCGAGUAACUUCACAGGGAUUUCCUAAGAGCUCCAUUUUCACGUCAAUUCCUCGUUAGUAUAGUGGUGAGUAUCCCCGCCUGUCACGCGGGAGACCGGGGUUCGAUUCCCCGACGGGGAGGAGGCUUAAACUUUUUUUUAGAAAAGCACACUUCCGGUAAACACAGUCUCUAGUCUUCUGGGCAAAUGUUGGGUUCUCUUUUUCUUUAGCAGAGUUCUUUCAAACCAACGAAAUACUGAUCGCAAAAACCAUAAGCUGUAGAAAUCAUGAGGUUCUGUAAUAGCAAGAAAAUUUCCACUCUGCACUGUAAUCUCCAUCACAGUGGAGAAACCGGGUAGAUACCAUCUUACCCAAGUGAUUGAAUCAGUAUUGGGACGAAUCUACAUUAUAUACCUUUUUUACAGGAUGUGCUCAUGAGAGCACAACGUCACUUUUGUGGUAUUCUUGGCAAAAAUAUGUAAUCUAAAUCAGAAAACAUCAGACAAACCCAUAUUGAGGGAGAUUUUAACAAAAUAACUGACUUGUACGCCUCAAAAACUGCAAUUACUUUUGCAUCAACCUAGUAACAGGCAAGCAGGGAGGAAAAAUAAAUAAAUAAAUAAAUAAAUAAAUAAACAAAUAAAUAAAAUAACAAAGUUACAGAACACAAAGAAAGGCUGACUAAAUAGUCCACAUUAUAGAAGAUCUUAAAGAUAUGACAGCAACAUAUGGUCUGGAAUUUUUAUCUUAAAGGACAUUAUUGAAAUAGUUGGUGAAAUCUCAAUAAAGUCUAUAGAUUUUAUAAUAUUAUGAAUGUGAAUUCCUGAUUGUAUUAAUUGUUCUAUGGUUAUAGAACAAAAUGUCUUUAAGAAAAUUCACACCUAUUUACAAAAUACGUAUUUAAGGGUAAGGGGAGGUAUGUGUCUUCAAACUCACUGUCAAAUAGUUCAGAAAUAUACAUUUAUGUAUAUAUAUGAGAGAGAGAAGGAAAAGAAAAUAUAGGAAUAUCCUUAAUGUGCUAAUAUUGAGGGAAUUGGGGUGAAGGGUGCUCAGGAAUUAUCUGUAUUAUUCAUGUACUGUGUCUGUCAGUCUAAAAUAAUUUCAGAAUGGAAAGUUAAAAGGAGAAAAGCCUAAUAAAACUAUAAAUGAAAAUAUACGAAUUAAAAUGUAAAAGGGCAAAUAUACAAUUUUGAACAAUG
rnacentral:tRNA from 1 species